CCCGAAUAUAAGACGGUGUUUUUUUGCAUUGAAAUAAGACUGAAAAAGUGGGGGUCGUCUUAUAUUUGGACAUUAUACCCUUUCACGACGCGAGAUGGCGCCAUUGAAGCGAAUGCUGAAUUUGACUCCCCAGGCCAAAGCGAACCCAUGUCACGAAGAAUAAAAAUAAAAAUAGCGGUAAGAAAGAAAAGAGAA